GAUAAACGCUGGCGGCGUGCAUGAGACAUGCAAGUCGAACGGACGAUCAGGGCUUGCUCUGAUCGUUAGUGGCGGACGGCUGAGUAACGCGUAGGUGACCUGCCCCGAAGUGGGGGAUAACUGCCCGAAAGGGUGGCUAAUACCGCAUGUGGUGGUUCGUUCAUUCGAACCAUCAAAGCAGUAAUGCGCUUCGGGAGGGGCCUGCGUCCGAUUAGCUCGUUGGUGGGGAACGGCUCACCAAGGCGACGAUCGGUAGGUGGUCUGAGAGGAUGGUCAGCCACACUGGGACUGAGAUACGGCCCAGACUCCUACGGGGGGCAGCAGUCUAGAGGCUUCGGCAAUGGGGGCAACCCUGACCGAGCGACGCCGCGUGUGGGAUCGAAGGCGUUUUCGUUGUAAACCACUGUUCCGGGGAAGAAUGCCCCGAUGGCGAAUCGGGAGCGACGGUACCCGGAAGCAACGCCCCGGCUAACUCCGUGCCAGCCGCCGCGGUAAG
rnacentral:rRNA from 1 species